GACAGAGGGUGCGAGCGUUGUUCGGAAUUACUGGGCGUAAAGCGCGCGCAGGCGGAUCCUGCAAGUCGGAAGUGAAAUGUGGCUGCUCAACGGCCACGCUGCUCCGAUACUGCGGAUCUGGGGACCGGUAGAGGCUGGUGGAAUUGCAGGUGUAGCGGUGGAAUGCGUAGAGAUCUGCAAGAACACCCGUGGCGAAGGCGGCCAGCUGGGCCGGAUCCGACGCUGAGGCGCGAAAGCGUGGGGAGCAAACAGG
rnacentral:rRNA from 1 species